rnacentral:rRNA from 1 species
UACGGGGGGAGCAAGCGUUGUUCGGAUUUACUGGGCGUAAAGGGCGCGUAGGCGGCCACCGCAAGUCGGUUGUGAAAUCUCUGGGCUUAACCCAGAAAGGUCAACCGAUACUGCGGGGCUAGAGUGCAGAAGGGGCAACUGGAAUUCUCGGUGUAGCGGUGAAAUGCGUAGAUAUCGAGAGGAACACCUGCGGCGAAGGCGGGUUGCUGGGCUGACACUGACGCUGAGAAGCGAAAGCAUGGGGAGCGAACAGG